CUGGGCUCGAACGGCCGGUCAACGCCGGUGGAAACAUCGGUACCCCGCAAGGGGGUCCGGUCGAGGUGCUGCAUGGCUGUCGUCAGCUCGUGUCGUGAGAUGUUGGGUUAAGUCCCGCAACGAGCGCAACCCUUGUCCUGUGUUGCCAUCAUUCAGUUGGGAACUCGCAGGAGACCGCCAGCGAUAAGCUGGAGGAAGGUGGGGAUGACGUCAAGUCCUCAUGGCCUUUAUGUCCAGGGCUACACACGUGCUACAAUGGACGGUACAAACCGCUGCAAACCCGCGAGGGGGAGCCAAUCGGAGAAAACCGUUCUCAGUUCGGAUUGCAGGCUGCAACUCGCCUGCAUGAAGCUGGAAUCGCUAGUAAUGGCAGAUCAGCACGCUGCCGUGAAUACGUUCCC
rnacentral:rRNA from 1 species